rnacentral:tRNA from 1 species
GUUAGAGAGGAGUAAUUGGUAAACUCGUUAGGCUCAUGCCCUAAAGAUUGUAGGUUCAAGUCCUACCUCUGACA